GCCCGGGUGGCUCAAUCGGUUGAGCGUCUGACUUUGGCUCAGGUCAUGAUCCUACAGUUCGUGAGUUCGAGCCCUGUGUCGGGCC
rnacentral:tRNA from 1 species